rnacentral:rRNA from 1 species
AUUGAACGCUGGCGGCAGGCCUAACACAUGCAAGUCGAGCGAGCGGCGGACGGGUGAGUAAUGUCUGGGAAACUGCCUGAUGGAGGGGGAUAACUACUGGAAACGGUAGCUAAUACCGCAUACCAUCAGAUGUGCCCAGAUGGGAUUAGCUAGUAGGUGGGGUAACGGCCCACCAAGGCGACGAUACCUAGCUGGUCUGGUAGGAUGACCAGCCACACUGGAUCUGAGACACGUGCCAGAUUACUACGGGAGGCAGCAGUGGUGAAUAUUGCACUAGGGGCGCAAGCCUGAUGUAGCCAUGCCGCGUGUGUGAAGAAGGCCGUCGGGUUGUAAAGCACUUUCAGCUGGGAGGCGGUACCCGCAGAAGAAGCACCGGCUAACUCCGUGCCAGCAGCCGCGGUAAUAC